rnacentral:rRNA from 1 species
UGAGGAAUAUUCCACAAUGGACGAAAGUCUGAUGGAGCGACGCCGCGUGCGGGAUGAAGGCCUUCGGGUCGUAAACCGCUUUUUUGUGGGACUACUUCGAAUGUACCACAAGAAUAAGUCACGGCUAAUCACGUGCCAGCAGCCGCGGUAAUACGUGAGUGGCAAACGUUAUCCGGAAUUACUGGGCGUAAAGCGUCACUAGGGUGCUUUGUAAGUACAAUGUUAAAUCUACUCGCUCAACGGGUAGGCCGCGUUGUAUACUGUAAGGCUUGAGGUAUGUAGAGGUGGGCGGAAUUCCCAGAGUAGGGGUAAUAUCCGUAGAUACUGGGAGGAACACCAAUAGCGAAGGCAGCUCACUGGACAUCACCUGACCCUCAAUGACGAAAGCGUGGGGAGCGAACCGG